CACAAGCGGUGGAGCAUGUGGUUUAAUUCGAUGAUACGCGAGGAACCUUACCUGGGCUCAAAUGUAUGUUGACGUAUUCUGAAAGGGAUACUUCUUCGGACAAUAUACAAGGUGCUGCAUGGUUGUCGUCAGCUCGUGCCGUGAGGUGUCGGGUUAAGUCCCAUAACGAGCGCAACCCCUAUCAUUAGUUGCCAUCAGGUCAAGCUGGGGACUCUAAUGAAACUGCCUACGCAAGUAGUGAGGAAGGUGGGGAUGACGUCAAAUCAGCACGGCCCUUACGUCCAGGGCUACACACGUGCUACAAUGGCCGGUACAAAGGGCAGCUACCUGGUGACAGGAUGCUAAUCUCAAAAGCCGGUCUCAGUUCGGAUCGGAGUCUGCAACCCGACUCCGUGAAGCUGGAAUUGCUAGUAAUCGCGCAUCAGCCAUGGCGCGGUGAAUACGUUCCCGGGCCUU
rnacentral:rRNA from 1 species